AGGCGGGCGCUCUAGGUUGCAUGUCCCAGAAGCCCCCGAGGCACCUGGGUCAAGAAGGCGGGGUUAGUGGGGUAUAAGGAGGAAGGUCGCGCAGUGAGAGGGCAGCGAGACAAAGAUAGGGACCCGGACGGCUGCUUGGGAGAUGCUUCAGGAUGAGGGAGAAUGGCGAACUCUUGUCUCAAAACUCAUUCCCUCCGGAAGACCGAGGAAAACUCCAGCGGUCCUCAGCCACACCAGAACAAAAAGCAGUGUCCAGAGUUCCUGCUCCCAUUGAAAGUGUAGUCUUUUGGGAACCGCGGGUGCCGCUGAGCAGUCACCUAGGCGGCGCAGCUUGCUCCUGGCCACGGUCCUGUUUCAGACUCCCCUGUGGAAACCGCUGGGGCUGAAGGCCAGACUGCUUCCAGGUUCACAAGUUUCCUCUAAAACUCAUCAGCUAGUAAGUUCUCCAGACGAGGCUGUUGUGCUGAACACCACUGGGAAACCUGUCCCUGAUGCUGAGUCAGACCACUGGAACUGUGCCUGAUUAAAUCUCACAGAGCUCUCUCUACCUCUGCUUCAAAGAGCAGAUCUGCCUGCGAUGGAUCCCUGCUGUUGUCUGGAAACAAAGCUCUCUGGGCUGUGGGGAGCAUGGGAUGAAAGCAGGUAAGGGCAAAUACUGCAGUCAUUUUUAAGAGGCAGCUUUGUCUUUUAGGGUGACAGAGCCUGGGUAAAACCUGACUGAAAUUAACAUGGAGUUUCAAACACAUUUCUGUGGGGAAUAAAUGUACCCCCCCCCCAAAUGAAAAUCAAGACAUGCAAGAAUUCAGGAUGAUGGUGUCUUUGGCUUGGGGAAAAUUGCAGUUCUAGGUAGGGAUAUGUGAGUUAUUGGCAAAGUUCUAGUUUUUAUGUAGGGAGGAGUCAAAGAAGGAUAUUACUAUUUUUAUAAGAAUACAGCAUGGCACCCUGGCUGGUGUGGUUCAGUGGAUUAAGCACCAGCUUGUGAGCAGAAAGCUGGCCCAAUGGGUUCCCACUUGGGGGCCUGUGAAGGGCAACCAAUUGAUGUGUGCUGGCUGUUUCUCCUCUCUUUGACUCUGUCUAAAAAUAAUCUUUAAAAAAAAAUUUUUUAAUGCUUUAUGUUGCCCUGGCUGGUGUGGCUUAGUGGAUUGAGUGCCAGCCUGUAAACCAGAAGUUCGCCCGUUCAAUUUCUAGUCAGGGCACAUGCCUGGGUUGCAGGCCAGGUUCCCAGUUGGGGAUGUGCAAGAGACAACCAAUCAGUAUAUCCUUGGUUGUACAAUGUAAACAUUGAUGUUUCUCUCCCCGUUUCUCCCUCCC